rnacentral:rRNA from 1 species
AUGGUUUCUCUCGUUGGUGAUCGAAAUACAAAAGGCUCGUUUGAUGUCCAUCAUACCAUUCAGCAAGAUAACGAUGACUCUUCCAUGGAAUGGCAGCUGGAGCAAAUUACACCAUUGUCUAGCCAGUAUUACUAUUACACCGUGGGUGCAGCUGAGGGAUUCCUAUUCCUUGGAGCCACUACCUUUGCAGAAAAGGAGUGGGUAGCUGAUGGAGUCUGGUUGAGGCAGAGGAGUGAUUUUGAAGUACAUUAUUUCUCGCUAGAUGCCCGGACUUCUGAACUUACCAAGGUUUGCAGUAAGUUGAGGGCACUAUUUGAUAAUGAAAGUAUUUUCUGGUACUUCGGCCUCCCUCCAUCGUUGUCAAAACCGAGUAUAUGA